rnacentral:lncRNA from 1 species
CAGUCCCUGAGGGACUAGUACAGUCCAAUGACAAUUAAUUGAUGCCUACUCUGUGUGGGCACUGAUGACACAGGAGUAACCAGCCUCAAUCCUGCUCUCAGGGGCCUUACUGUCUACGGAGAGACCAUCCUCACACUUGCUGGUGCUGCUGGUUAGGACUACAGGGAUCUACGGCCCCUCAUUCCAACUCUGCUACACUCCUGGAACUCCGGCCUUUGCCUCAGCCUCUCCACUGCCGUGUCCAUGAGGUCAGGCUGUUCCAAAACCCCUGCCUGCCCUCCCACCUCCUCCUAGAAACAGAUGCUUGCAGACCACCGUGUCCACACCUGCUUCCCAGAUAUGCCUAGCCCCCUGGGGCAGAAACUCAGCAGGGAAGUUCCGUAACACCUUGCACUUGGGCCCAGGCUCCAUCAGCCACCUGGUGUAAAAUCUCAGCCAGCCCCAGUGGACUUGGCUCUGAUCCCCUCAGGAAGGAAAGUGGGGAAUAAAAUGGAGGUGAGGAAGAUAUGGAAAAAUAAG